rnacentral:rRNA from 1 species
UGACGGGCGGUGUGUGCAAGGAGCAGGGACGUAUUCACCGCGGGAUAGUGACCCGCGAUUACUGGGGAUUCCGGCUUCAUGAGGGCGAGUUACAGCCCUCAAUCCGAACUGAGCGUAGGUUUUGGGAUUAGCGUCACCUUUCGGCGUAGCAACCCUUUGUCAUACGCAUUGUAGGCCGCGUGUAGCCUGGGCGAUUCGGGGCAUACUGACCUACCGUUGCCCGCUCCUUCCUCUGGUUUAUCACCAGCGGUCCCCUUUGGGUGCAUUCCCUCCGGAGAAGAAAUUUGCAACAAAGAGCGCGGGUCUCGCUCGUUACCUGACUUAACAGGACACUUUACAGCACGAGCUGGCGGCGGCCAUGCACCUCCUCUCAGCGCGUCAGUUAAAUUCGUCAGCUUGAACAUCAUACUGCUGUCACCCCAGUGANAUUUCCGGCUUUGAAUCCAAUUAAACCGCACCUCC